rnacentral:lncRNA from 1 species
CUUGUCUGAAGGGGCUUUGGAUUCCGCAACAGAAUCUCCAUAUCCUCCAACGUAGACUCACGCCUUCGAAGUCUAGCUGGCUGAGUCCCACUCCUCUCGAAAGCUCCCGCGCUCAAUUGGAGCCCCGCCCCCCGCCCGGUACCUGGUCACCUGAAGCUGCCGCAGUUCGUCCUUAGUAGCAUCCGGCCUUGGAGAUGGUCCAUUGAUCAUGCUGUGGAGCGGCAGCGGCUGAGCUUGGAACCUGGCCCUUGGCACUGAUUGCUCAGGCGUAUCCCCCAGUGCCUCUUACUCGCUGCUAGCCCAGCAAGGAGACCCUGAGCAGAGUGCGCAGGACCCCUCCAGGGUCAUCUCUGCUCUGGUGUGAUGGGGUCCGCAAAGGAGGUCAGAGAUCUCAAAGACUCUUUGCUGUUGGCGCUAAGCACUCUGUGUGGGUGUUGGGGAACCUGCCCUGGGCACCUGUUACAGAGGAACCACCCCUGCAGGCCUUCUGGUCCAGAGAGGUGGGUAGGGUGUGUGCAUAAGCAGCCACCACCUAAUCUCAGGGUGCGAAGCGGGUGGGGCUUUUGCACCUUCUUAGCCAAAGCCCAGUCUUGGGCUCCUCGGCGGAGGUUGCUGCGCAGGAGGCCCAUUGUAGCUUUGUUCUGUGCUGUCUUCUCCUUCACGCCCUGGAUCUGGAGCGCCCGACAUUGUUCUGUAGGUGGUGGAGGGAACAAGAUUUCCAGACACUAGGGUAAAAGGACUGGCUGAGGAUCUCCAAAGCAUCCAGAGAGACACCUGGAAUGAGCUGUACUUGGCAUGGGAGGUUUUACCUUGGAAAUCUUGUCCCAUCUUUCCUGGGCUGCCCUGAAAGCCCCGUUCUCCUGUAAAUACAAGGACUAAACUGGAUCCCAUCUCCUAGAGUGCCCUUCUAAAAUGUCCCAUUUCCUGCUGCCACAUGUGCGGGCAUAUGCAGGCCUGAACUCUGAGGUUCAUCAAAGUAGCCAGCUCUCUAACAGCAAUGGCUUCCCCCAUUUCCAACUGCAGCAAGCUGAACACAGCCAAGGCCUGUUGUAUGCAGCAGGCGGCUUAUAAGUGUUGUAUGCAGCAGGCGGCUUAUAUUGCAGCAGCUUCUGGCUGAGUCUCCAGCUCCCAACUCCCUGCAGAGGCACAGGGACUCACGCACGACUGCUUCUGGUUUUCUAUGUUCUCUCAGCAAAUCUGAAGUAUUGGUUACAGACCCAGGCUUUUGCCUGCCACUUCAAGGUGCAGAGUGUCUUUAUAAGCUGGCCCUGAGAAAUGUCCAGUGCACAGCUUUCAUUUGUGCAGCCUGAGUUGUCACCCUGGUCUAUCAGUCUUGGAGUGUGCAUUCAAUAAACCAUCCCUGUUUAACUG